rnacentral:rRNA from 1 species
CCUACGGUGCACCAGUAGGGAAUCUUCGGCAAUGGGUGCAACCCUGACCGACCAACGCCGCGUGAGUGAAGAAGGUUUUCGGAUCGUAAAACUCUGUUGUUAGAGAAGAACGUUAAGUAGAGUGGAAAAUUACUUAAGUGACGGUAUCUAACCAGAAAGGGACGGCUAACUACGUGCCAGCAGCCGCGGUAAUACGUAGGUCCCAAGCGUUGUCCGGAUUUAUUGGGCGUAAAGCGAGCGCAGGUGGUUUCUUAAGUCUGAUGUAAAAGGCAGUGGCUCAACCAUUGUGUGCAUUGGAAACUGGGAGACUUGAGUGCAGGAGAGGAGAGUGGAAUUCCAUGUGUAGCGGUGAAAUGCGUAGAUAUAUGGAGGAACACCGGAGGCGAAAGCGGCUCUCUGGCCUGUAACUGACGCUGAGGCUCGAAAGCGUGGGGAGCAAACAGGAUUAGAUACCCCCGUAGUC